rnacentral:lncRNA from 1 species
ACGGGACCAACACGCGAAAAAAUAAUUUACUAAGAGAAAAGAUUACAAGGUGAUUACCGACUCCACGGACUUAACCUCUCUUAACCUCCUAUGAAUCUUCGCGCUACCCUCCGGGUUGUCCACGCCCUCACGUUCGAAUCCACGAACGCCUCCACUUCGAAUCCACAAAGCUUUAAUCACGCCGAAUCCACGACGCCACUCGAAUCCACGAGCCCACGAUCCGAAUCCACGAACCGCCGUCAAAAACGUCGAAUCCACGACGCCACCAUGAAGAGUAUCAUGAUUAUGGUGAUCCUUCGUUUAGGAGUAUCGUAGAAAACCAGGGAAUAGAAUUCCAAGCGAAGCGGAGAUCAAAUCGACAUAUUAAUAUCAAAUUUCAAUAUCUCGAUUUGAUCUAAAAGAGGCUUUUUGUAGAAAAUAGGUUUUAGAUGAAAUCCGAGCCUCUAGGGUUUCUCAAAUAUGUAUUUUCGUGAUGCUUAAUAUGUUAGAGAAGCCCAAUAGCUUAUUUAUAGACUUUAGAAUCAAUUGGAGUCGGAUUAGAAAGUUUUCACGAUUUUACACUGUGUACCGGUACACUUUAGGCUGUCACCGGUUACACGAUGACGGAACGAAAAACCAGACGAAACAGUGAAACCGGUUACAUCUUUGAUGGUCGUACCGGUACACAAUUUGUACCGGUACACUUCUGAUGAUGUACCG